rnacentral:lncRNA from 1 species
CAUUAUCAUAUAAUUCUAUACAACUAAUACUAUAUUGAGAUAAUAUCUCAUUACAAACUCCAUAAAUCAAAAUACAUAAAUAAAGUAAAAUCUAUCCAACAUGAAAAGUCUAAUCGGAAUACAAGAAUAAUUCUAAUGUAACCACUUAUCUAAUAAAUUUACUCUUGAAUAACUUCCACGUUCAUGUACCUGUGAAAAAAAAGUUAUAAUUUUAGUCGUACUUUUGUAUACAUGAUUUAGAAAAAUAAAAUUAAACGUUAGUCAUAAAUUAUGUAUUAAUUAGUGAAGCAAACAAUAGAAUAAGAAAUAAGUACUGGUGAAUAAAAUACUUACUCGAUUUAACACAACAAAUAUUCUCAAUUCCUCUCUGGCUGCAAAUAACCACAAGAAUUAAGAGUAGGAAAUGUCAAUUUUUGAGUACUUAACCUCUCAAACAUUAAAGAAACAUAAAUAAAAUAUCUUUAAAUAUUCUUCAUAAAAUUUAAAAAGAAACCACUACUACAUAAACCGAGUGAGAUCCGGUAUGAGAUCUGUACCGAAGCAAAAGAGGUACGAAAAAUGGCAUUGGGUCUUAAAACGAAACAUCAUUACAGUUUUAAUCUCUUGAAGUUGUUAAGUUAAAAAAAAGGCUUCGAAGAAAAUCAAACACUUUGAAUUGUAUGUUUAAGAGCGAGAGAGAGGGAAAAAAAGAAGAGAAAUGAUAUAUCAUGAUAACAAUAGGCAGAUCUUACUGGGGUAAGAGUUAGAUGGAGAUGAAGAUCAUACAAAGAGAAACGAGGAGACGUGGAGGAGAUGAAGGGGAUGGAGG